AUAUAAAGUUGCCGUUGAUCCUGCUACUUGCUACCUUCACAGCAAUUGGAAGUUGCAAUUCCAAUUGAAUUGAGUUAAGAGUUGGGGCUCACUCGACGACGGAGAGAGAAGAGUAGCGAUGGCGGAGCACUUGGCUUCGAUAUUCGGGACCGAGAAGGACCGGGUGAACUGCCCGUUCUAUUUCAAGAUCGGCGCGUGCCGUCACGGCGACCGGUGCUCCCGUCUCCACAACCGGCCGACGAUCAGCCCGACUCUGCUCCUCUCCAACAUGUACCAGCGCCCCGACAUGAUCACCCCCGGCGUCGACCCCCAGGGCCAGCCCAUCGACCCCCGCAAGAUCCAGGACCAUUUCGAGGACUUCUACGAGGACAUCUUCGAGGAGCUCGACAAGUUCGGCGAGAUCGAGAGCCUCAACGUCUGCGACAAUCUCGCCGAUCACAUGAUCGGCAACGUCUACGUCCAGUUCAAGGAGGAGGACCAGGCCGCCGCCGCCCUCCAGGCCUUGCAAGGGAGGUUCUAUAACGGCCGCCCGAUUAUCGCCGACUUCUCUCCGGUGACGGAUUUCCGGGAAGCCACGUGUCGCCAGUUCGAGGAGAACAACUGCAAUCGAGGCGGCUACUGUAAUUUUAUGCACGUCAAGCUGAUUGGGAGGGAAUUGAGGAGGAAGCUGUAUGGGAGGUACCGCGGGUAUAGGGCUAGCCGGAGCCGGAGCCGGAGUUUGAGCCCGCGGCACCGGAGGGAUAGGGAUAGGGAUUAUGAUAAACGGGACCACCGGGACAGAGAUUAUAGAGGGAAUGGGAGGAGAAGCAAGGAUAGGUAUGACAGGGACAGAGACAGUGGGAGGAGAAGACAUAGCAGUCCCAGGCGGAGCAGAACCAGGAGCAGGAGCCCCGUGGCGGCAGCAGUGAGGGAAGGGAGCGAAGAACGCCGAGCUAGGAUUGAGCAGUGGAAUCGAGAAAGGGAGGGGAAGCUGUGAUUGUGGCAUUGGAUUUCGUUGGGAUUUGCUGUUAGUGUAAAGCUCAUGUCGUGGAGAUUCUAGUUUUGAUGACUUCCACUGCUAUUGCAGGUUAGCUGAACAAGAAAACAGGUCAGAAACAGGAUACCUGACGAGUUGAUGAUUCUAUAACUAGCUAUGGUGUAGGCUGCCUCUAGGUGGUUCUCUGGCGCCCAUAGUUCUAAUGAAGGAUGAUCAAUGCGGUGGUAUGAAUGUAGUGAUGAUGCCAAACUUUAAUUUGUGUGUUAGUGACCUCUCCUUCAACCUUACUUGCCUAUAAACCCUUAGGGGUACCCUUUCUACCAGAACAUCUGAGUUCGGUGAAAAUAUGUCGACUUUGCAACCUUGACAGGUUGUUUAUUGGUGUUUGGUGCUAAAUUCUUUCCAUCUCCGAGACACCUCUGACUAAUUUGUCCUCUCUCUAUAUCAAGGAAUUGUUGGUGGCGUUUCUGAAGCUCCAUUGUAAAGAUAGGGUUUGCAACUACGAGGAUGUAGAUGCUGUAGUGGAUAAACCUAGAAAAUCAUUAUAGACGAUGAGUGCUAGUCAUUAGAUUCGUCUUAGAUGAUGGUGUGCAGAUACUGUUGGUGGCUCAAUAUUGUUGUUGGUAGUUAAUGUAAUUUAGUCUUUAAACCCUUGUAUGUGAGCUCUAUAUAUAUAGUGAUUUGUUUUGUGGAUUAUGGCAGUAGAUUGCGGACGAGAAA